GACGAACGCUGGCGGCGUGCUUAACACAUGCAAGUCGAACGGAAAGGCCCUGCUUUUGUGGGGUGCUCGAUUGGCGAACGGGUGAGUAACACGUGAGUAACCUGCCCUUGACUUUGGGAUAACUUCAGGAAACUGGGGCUAAUACCGGAUAGGAGCUCCUGCUGCAUGGUGGGGGUUGGAAAGUUUCGGCGGUUGGGGCUGGACUCGCGGCUUAUCAGCUUGUUGGUGGGGUAGUCGCUUACCAAGGGUUUGACGGGUAGCCGGCCUGAGAGGGGGACCGGCCACAUUGGGACUGAGAGACGGCGCAGACGCCUACGGGAGGCAGUAGUGGAGAAUAUUGCACAAUGGGCGGAAGCGUGAGGCAGCAACGCCGCGUGCGGGAUGACGGCCUUCGGGUGGUAAACCGCUUUCGACUGUGACGAAGCGUGAGUGACGGUAAUGGGUAAAGAAGCACCGGCUAACUACGUG
rnacentral:rRNA from 1 species